rnacentral:rRNA from 1 species
CGGACGGGUGAGUAACGCGUGAGUAACCUGCCUUUCAGAGGGGGACAACAGUUGGAAACGACUGCUAAUACCGCAUAACAUAUUUGGAUCGCAUGGUCUGAAUAUCAAAGAUUUAUCGCUGAAAGAUGGACUCGCGUCUGAUUAGGUAGUUGGCGGGGUAACGGCCCACCAAGCCGACGAUCAGUAGCCGGACUGAGAGGUUGAACGGCCACAUUGGGACUGAGAUACGGCCCAGACUCCUACGGAAGGCAGCAG